rnacentral:tRNA from 1 species
GAUUAGCUCAGUUGGUUAGAGCAUCUGCUUUACACGCAGGUUGUCGGGGGUUCGAGUCCCUCAUCGCC